rfam:Hyphomicrobium sp. MC1 chromosome, complete genome.
ACGCUUUUUUUCGUAAGCGUUGCUCCCUAUAUUCAGUGGUGCUGGCUCUGCCAGCUAUGGCGAUAAACGCGGUCGUAAUAAGCCGAUCGGACCCGGGGGCGGUACCCGGCGCCUCCACCAUUUUAUGCUGGGCCUUGCGACUCCCCCUUCCCGGGGAGCCGGCCGCAAGGCCCGGUGAUCUCGUUGGGUUUCCCUGCGAGCACCGGCCGUAAGGCCCAGCUGUUAUGGGGGCGAAAUAGGAUCGACGAAGGUGUAAAGGACUUAGCUUUUGCCCGGCAUGAUACCACCGUUAUCGGGUCAUACAGAAUAGUUGCCAAUGACAACUAUGCUGAGGCCGCUCUCGCUGCGUAAUGCAGCGCGACUAGCCUGAACUUGAAGCCCUUGCCCCUAGCAGGGUAAGGCGCGGUCCGGAGGGCACCGGGCAACAGAAGCCCUCCACC